rnacentral:lncRNA from 1 species
AUAUACAUUCUAUCUUUAUAGAAUGUUUAAAGUCAUAACUUUAACGAAUGUUUAAAGUCAUAACUUUAACGAAUGUUUAAAGUCAUAACUUUAACGAAGAAGUAUUCAUUUCAUUUCCAAAAUUAAUAAAUCAUAUAUACAUUCAUAUAUAUCACAUAUAUAUUUAUAUAUAUAUAUACAUACAAAUUUAGGAAUAUGACUAACUCCCACUAAUCUUUUGUAAACCUAGUAAACAAAA